AACAUAUUUAUUAAGUUGUGAAAAAAUGUAUUUGUGAUGUAUUAUGUAUAUUAGAUACCUACCAUUUCUUUUCCUUGAUGUGCAUUUUUUACUAUUAUAAAAUUGUAAUCUGGAGUUGACGGUGGUAGUGUCACGAUUAAUAAU